GAUGAACGCUAGCUACAGGCUUAACACAUGCAAGUCGAGGGGAAACGACAUCGAAAGCUUGCUUUUGAUGGGCGUCGACCGGCGCACGGGUGAGUAACGCGUAUCCAACCUGCCCAUCACUUGGGAAUAACCUUGCGAAAGUAAGACUAAUACCCAAUGAUAUCCCACGAAGGCAUCGGAAUGGGAUUAAAGAUUUAUCGGUGAUGGAUGGGGAUGCGUCUGAUUAGCUUGUUGGCGGGGUAACGGCCCACCAAGGCAACGAUCAGUAGGGGUUCUGAGAGGAAGGUCCCCCACAUUGGAACUGAGACACGGUCCAAACUCCUACGGGAGGCAGCAGUGAGGAAGAGUGGUCAAUGGGCGAGAGCCUGAACCAGCCAAGUAGCGUGCAGGAUGACGGCCCUAUGGGUGGUAAACUGCUUUUAUAAGGGAAUAAAGUGGGUCUCGUGAGACUUUUUGCAUGUACCUUAUGAAUAAGAACCGGCUAAUUCCGUG
rnacentral:rRNA from 1 species